GUCACACUUGACCAGAGAUGAACGCUGGAUCAGAGGACUCCAUGUUGGACACCACGACCUGGUGAUGACCUAGCCCAAGAUGAAAUGGCCCUUCUACGACGAGGACUUGGCCCAAGAUGAACCCUCUUUUCCACAUGAUGUCUUCAGAUGUUGGACCUUGCCAAACUGUACACAUG